rnacentral:rRNA from 1 species
GACGAACGCUGGCGGCGUGCUUAACACAUGCAAGUCGAACGGAAAGGCCCUGCUUUUGUGGGGUGCUCGAGUGGCGAACGGGUGAGUAACACGUGAGUAACCUGCCCUUGACUUUGGGAUAACUUCAGGAAACUGGGGCUAAUACCGGAUAGGAGCUCCUGCUGCAUGGUGGGGGUUGGAAAGUUUCGGCGGUUGGGGAUGGACUCGCGGCUUAUCAGCUUGUUGGUGGGGUAGUGGCUUACCAAGGCUUUGACGGGUAGCCGGCCUGAGAGGGUGACCGGCCACAUUGGGACUGAGAUACGGCCCAGACUCCUACGGGAGGCAGCAGUGGGGAAUAUUGCACAAUGGGCGGAAGCCUGAUACAGCAACGCCGCGUGCGGGAUGACGGCCUUCGGGUUGUAAACCGCUUUCGCCUGUGACGAGGCGUGAGUGACGGUAAUGUGUAAAGAAGCACCGGCUAACUACGUG